UACCAGCACCCCGAGUUGUCGGGACGAUUAUUGGGCCUAAAGCAUCCGUAGCCUGUUCUGCAAGUCCUCCGUUAAAUCCACCUGCUCAACAGAUGGGCUGCGGAAGAUACUACAAGACUAGGAGGCGGGAGAGGCAAGCGGUACUCAGUGGGUAGGGGUAAAAUCCUCUGAUCCAUUGAAGACCACCAGUGGCGAAGGCGGCUUGCCAGAACGCGCUCGACGGUGAGGGAUGAAAGCUGGGGAGCAAACCGG
rnacentral:rRNA from 1 species